AGCGAACGCUGGCGGCAUGCCUAACACAUGCAAGUCGCACGGGGGGGCUUCGGCCUCCCAGUGGCGGACGGGUGAGGAACGCGUAGGGACCUGUCGAGGGGUGGGGGAUAACCGCGGGAAACUGCGGCUAAUACCGCAUGACGCCGCGGCGUGACAGCCGGGGCCAAAGGCGAAAGCCGCCCGCCGAGGGGCCUGCGUCCGAUUAGCAGGUUGGCGGGGUAGCGGCCCACCAAGGCGUCGAUCGGUAGCUGGUCUGAGAGGGUGAUCAGCCACACCGGGACUGAGACACGGCCCGGACUCCUACGGGAGGCAGCAGUGGGGAAUAUUGGACAAUGGGCGCAAGCCUGAUCCAGCAAUGCCGCGUGGGUGAAGAAGGUCUUCGGAUUGUAAAGCCCUUUCGGCGGGGACGAUGGUGACGGUACCCGCAGAAGAAGCCCCGGCUAACUUCGUG
rnacentral:rRNA from 1 species